rnacentral:lncRNA from 1 species
CCUGUCCCCAGGUGAGCUCCUGGACUCCCCGGACUGCGACCAUCAGACGCAUUUCCCACAGUUCUCCUACUCGGCCAGCAUCCGCGAGUGACACCUGGGGACACCUGGGACACCUGGGGACACCUGGGGGCACCUGGGGACAGCUUGGACACACCUGGGGACACGUGGCACACCUGUGUGCCACCUGGGGACACCCACCUGGACACACGUGGCACACCUGUGUGCCACCCACCUCAGCACCUGGGCACACCUGGCACACCUGUGUCCCACCUGUGCCCCUCCCCCACCUGUGCCAGGCACUCUGGCCCCUCCCCUGGGUCAUAUGGCCCCGCCCCCAGGCUCUAUAACCCCGCCCCCUGGUGCUCCGGCCCCGCCCCCUGGUGCUCAGCCCCGCCCCCAGGCUCUCUGGCCCCGCCCCCUCCCCUGCUGUUUUGGGGCCGUUUUUUGAGGUUUUUUGAAAAAACCUCGGUGUGGCCUUGAGCCCCCAGAGCUCCCAGUUCAAACCAGUUCAAACCAGUUCAAACCGGUCCCUCCCAGUGCCUUCAGUCCAUCCCAGUUUGUCCCAGUUCAACCCCAGUCCAUCCCAGUUCAUCCCAUUGUCCUUUCCCAGUCCCCACCCAGUUCAAUCCCAGCUCAGCCCAUUAUCCUGGCCCAGUUCAAUCCCAGUUCAAACCAGUUCAAACCAGUAUCCUAUUGUCUCCCAUCCCAGUUCAAACCAGUCCAUCCCAGUUCAAUCCCAGUCUAUCCCAGUGUCCAUUAUCUCAGCCCAGUUCAAUCCCGGUCCCUCCCAGUCCAGCCCAGUCCCUCCCAGUUCAAACCAGUUCAAUCCCAGCAUGUCCCAGUUCAAACCAGUUCAAUCCCAGUCCAUCCCAAUCCUUCCCAGCCCCUCCCAGUUUGUCCCAAUCCCCUCCCAGUCCCUCCCAGUUUAUCCCAGUUUGUCCCAGUUCAAUCCCAGUUCCCUCCCAGUUCAAUCCCAGUUUGUCCGAAUUUGUCCCAAUCCCCUCCCAGUUCCUCCCAGUUCAAUCCCAGUUUGUCCCAUUUCAAACCAGUUCAAACCAGUCCAUCCCAGUUCCCUCCCAGUUCUGGGGCCCCUCCCCCACCAGCGCUGCCUCUGAGCCCCUCCCCCCCCUCAUUUUGAGGGUGGGGGAGGGGCGGA